rnacentral:lncRNA from 1 species
GUAGUUGCUGAUGUCACACAAAAAGAGACACCGAGAUCAGAGAUCAGAGAAGGUGAAAGGAAACGGUUCAUUGUUGUUGAAGAGACUGCCAUAAGUAAAGCGUUUGGUGCUGAUAAUAUAUUGAGAGACAGACAGGGCAGGAAGAGCAUUGCAAUCAGAGCUGAAGAUGAUGAAGUUCAGAGUCAGACACAUGGAUUAGAUGGAAACUCUCCUGGAAAUGAACUAAACGAGCUAAAGGAUUUGACCGAGGAUGUGAAGAUCUCUGAACAAGAAACACGUGCCGAUGUCACACAAGAAGAGACACCGAGAUCAGAGAUCAUAGAAGGUGAAAGUGAACGGUUCAUUUAUGUUCAAGAGACUGCCAUAAGUAAAGCGUUUGGUGCUGAUAAGAGAUUGCGAGACAGACAGGGCAAAAAGAGCCUUGUAAUCCGUAAAACCAAGACUGAAGAUGCUGGAGUUCAAACGCAUGGUGAGUAGUUUAAUGUAA